rnacentral:rRNA from 1 species
AGCAGUCGCCACGGGAAUACGAAGGGUGCAAGCGUUAAUCGGAAUUACUGGGCGUAAAGCGUGCGUAGGCGGUGAGUUAAGUCUGCUGUGAAAUUCCCGGGCUUAACCUGGGAACUGCGCUUGUGACUGCACAGCUAGAGUAUGGCAGAGGGGGGUGGAAUUCCACGUGUAGCAGUGAAAUGCGUAGAGAUGUGGAGGAACACCGAUGGCGAAGGCAGCCCCCUGGGCCAAUACUGACGCUCAUGCACGAAAGCGUGGGGAGCAAACAGGAUUAGAUACCCCGGUAGUCCCUGUCUCUUAUAC